rnacentral:lncRNA from 1 species
UAACUCCCUAUAGAAUGACCCUCACUUAAGCUGAAAUUGUCUCUCUACCGAUUCACUAUUUCUAUUUCACACAUUUUUUUCAGCUCUCACUUAAAACCCUUGAAUCCCAGAAAAAGAAAACCUAUUCCUCUCAUCCUCAGUUCCUUUGUAAAACCCUUUUCCUUUUCUUUCCUUAGUUGGUUUCUUCCUUACGCUCCCCUCCCCCCAACGACCUCAAAACUGUCCUCAAAAUCUUCUCACACACCUGUCACUUGCUGAUUGCCUCUUCCAAAAACGCCUACUUCCACUAACAGGGCAGCUGCCACUUCCUAAUGACCUCUCCAAAGAUGACACGUGGACCUCUAAAAACCUACCAUGUGGCAAAAACAAAUAAGUGCAAAAAAUAAACCCAAAACGGGGGUUUACAGGACUCCCCCGCCUCCUUUGGCUGCUUCGAGCCCUCUACCACCCCAACAAUGAGCACUUCCUCCACCUCAGUAGCUGCGUAAGCCCAUAAGAGAGGGCGGAGCUUUCCGCAUCUAUUGGGUCUGUUGUUGUCUUCGCCGUUGCAGAGAAUGUUAAUGUUGUUGGGAACGUUGAUGCGGUGAAUCUUCACGACUCCAUGCCCAUUGCUUCCCUGCUUCUAUUAGACACAAAUAACAAUAAUUAAAGUCUUUUUUUAAUGAAGCAACAAAGGACUUCAUAGAUUUCCUCUUCAACCUUCGGUUUUUGCCCAUUGGAACUGUGGUCAAUAUCCUUGCAAAGAAGAGCAAUGCAGGUGGUUUUGGUAACUAGUAUGAAAUUGUCAAAAAUCUCAAUGAAAGCACCUACCAUAACUGGACUCACACUUAAUUAAACAAUUAUAUUAAGUUUUGUUUGGCUCUAUGAUAGGGUUUGAAGAUGCUGAAGGAAGGUUGGUUAUGUGAGAUAUUUCAUGAGAACAUUGCCUACACCAUCACUAAGAAAGAAUAGAACUCGGAAAAAAUAUAUAAAUACUUUAGAGGAUAAGGGAAAGAACAAAAAUUCAAAACCAUACUAACAAGAAGAGAAUCAAAACCAUUAUUAAAGGAGGAGAAAGGAAAGAACCAAAACCACUUUGUCUUUGCUUAAUUAUAUAAUGAAUUUAAAACAAGAAAAAAAAAACACUUUUUAGGAUCGAGUAGGGAGAGAAUCAAAAUUCAAAACCAUACUUGCAAAGAAGAAAACCAAAACCAUUAAUUGAGGAGAAAGGAAAGAACCAAAACUACUUUGUCUUUGCUUAUAUAAUGAAUUUAAAACAAGAAGAAAAAAUAAAAAUUUUUAGAAGGUAAAGAAUCAAAAUUCAAAACCAUACUUGUAAGAAAAGGACCAUUAAUUGAGGAGAAAGGAAAGAACCAAAACCACUUUGUCUUUGCUUAUAUAAUGAAUCUAAAACAAGAAGAGAGCCAUUAUUUCCACUUCAAGAUCACUAUUUAGCUAUUUUAAUUUCAUCUCCUUUUAUGUUCUCUCUAUUUGAGUUUUCUGUAGAAGCUCAAUUCUAGGUAAAGUUAGUGGACUACUUUUCUUUUGGAAAUGGCUUCCAAUCCAUAUAAGCUUAUCAAACUUGGUUGAGUUAUAAGUUUGUCAAUUUCCUUGUUUUCUUGAUGAAUUAAUCCAUAUAGAUAUUAUCUGCUUAUAUGUUUAUUGAUUUCUUUAUUUUCUUGAUAGAUUAAUCUGUGUAGAUAUUGUUCAUUUUGGACUUAAAGAAUUCUCACGAUUUAAAAACGUGUUUAUAAAAUUAGGAAGAAUUCAUACAUAAAUAGCAUCAAAUUUUUUUUUUUCUCCUAUCUAAUUUGGGAUUUUUGGUUUAUAUAUAGCAACAAUAUCUACAGGAUUGAAAUUGAAUUAUUAUAUAACUAAUCUUGGUUUUAUGAUCCAAUUCAUGCAUGGCAACCAAAGUGACCCCUAAGAUGAGCUUGAAGCUUCUAAUCAACAAAAAUGAUGAUAAAGUUGUCUUCGCUGAAGCUGAAAAAGAUUUCGUAGAUUUCCUAUUCAACCUUCUGACUUUGCCGAUUGGCACCACGACGAGUUUUCUUCCAAAAGGAAUUUGCCUAGGAGGCCUGCAUGAGAGUAUCAAAAAACUCGAUGGAGCUUACCUGCAACCUAACCAGAGCGCGGACUCGCCCCUGAAAUUGAAUACACUAGCCUAUGCUAUUCUUCCUUUCUUUAAUUCUUCUUCAUCGAGGAGUCAUGGUCAUGUGCAGGGCUUAGUUACCUACAUGGUGCCUGAUGACUUGUCGAUUACACCCAUGUCCAUGGCAACAACCAUGGCUUUGUUUAAGAAGUACAACAUAGAAGAAGUUGAUGUUCUCGAGGAGAAGAUGGUUGCAAUUAGCCUUGAUGAGGUAAACAAUUAUCUGGCUUGUUGGGUUUUAAUUGAUUUCUUUUCUGGCUUAUUCUCUUGCAGAUUUGGUUGGGGUUUGGAGUUAAUUUUUUUCCCAUAACAUAAUUAAUUAGGAGAUAUUACUUGUAAAUCAAUUAUUAAAUUAUUAUACCUUGUUGGGUAAUUGAUUUUUGAAAUAGUUUUCUAUUCAACAAAAUAAAAAGAAAAAACAUAUUUUCAAUUAGGAAAUAAAAAACAUGAUGUUUUUAAAUUAAGUUUUUUAGUUAAUUAUUUCCAUUUAUUUUCUAAGAUUUAUUCUAAAAAUAAUAAUAUAAAUAUGGAAGAAUGAUUAAAAAUAAAAUAUUACAUGUAACACUAUUUUUAAAACAUAUCUAGAAACAUUAAAAAAAAAAAAAAGAAUUACAGAACGUUUUAGAUUCUUCAAUAGGCUUGUUCUGCAAAAUAUCAUAAAUAAUUUUAAAAAACCAUUCUCAAAAAGUUUUUUCCAUGAAUGUUUUAAAAAACAUAUCCUAAAUUUUUUUCUAAAGUUUUGAAAGGAAUUUUCUGCCAACCAUCUACCAUUAAACCGCCUAGCCAUCAAAUUUACCGUCAACCACUGACCCUUGAACUGCCUAGCCAUCAAAUCGACUGCCAACCAUCAACCAUUGAACCGCCUCGCCAUCAAACGGACUGCAAACCCCGCCUAAACCAGCAACCACAUUGGUGACCAUCCAAAUAAAGCCCAUGUUGGGCUCUAUGGUAAACCCAGGAGUUGUGGAGAUGUCAUUCCUUUGGAUGCGUAAUGUAUUAAAAGGCCUCCUCGUUUUUAUCACCACCAGAUGUGGGAUUGAUUAGUUUCAAGAAAAGUCAAUGAAAAAAAAAUCCCACCUCAAGUUGAGGAGAUAGCAUAGGCACCAUUCGGCUACACACAUUUAAAUGCUAAACCAUCAAAAGCAACCAAGCUGAUUCAAUUUUUAACAAUUGUGAAGUUUUGGUUAGGUUUUGUUAUUGUGGAAAUUGAUUUAGUUGAUUCAAUUUUCAAUUUUCUUGAUUCCUAAUCAAUAAAAAUUAAAUCAAAUUGAUAUUUCUUAUAAUUUAUAAUGGUUUCCCGUUGAAUGAAUUUUUUUUUUUUUAUCUGUUACUUUCAUUAUUAUGUAUAUUACAUGGACUCAAUUUAAUUAAUUCAUUAUUGAUAAAUUAUAGUCAAAACAAUCUUCAAAUACAUCAAUUAUAGAACAAAAAUAUAUAUAAAAACUUAAAAUGUUCUUAAUCCAUUUUUCAUAUUUUUAAAUAUAUUUUAAAAAUAUAUUUUAUCCUAAUACUUUAUUUUUAAGUAUUUUUCAUAUUUGUAUAAUUAUUCUUUAAAAUAAAAUUUAGAAAAUAAGCAAAAAUAAUAAAAAAGAUGUUCCUUAAAAACACAAUAUUUUUUAUUUUUUAGAAUAAAAAGAUAUUUUCUAUCUUUAAAAAUAAAAAAUUAAUUUCUAUUUGUAGAAUUAAUGAAGGGCUAAAUCCAUCAAUUUAUAUAUAAAAUGAUUUACAUAAUAAAAAUGCAUGAGACGUGAUUUGACCUAACCGUACGUCCAUGAAUAAGAAAAACUAUUUUAUCAUGCAUAACAUAGAAAAUAUCAUAAAGAAUAUAAACCCAUUACAAAAACAAUUAUUUACGGCCACGUGGUGGGUUGUGAAAUAUGAAAUUUCUGGAAAAGAGUAUGGGAUGAUUGGGCUUGGGAGGAUGGAGGGUGGAUAUGAACCGAGAGCCGCCCAGAAGGGGCCCACUAAGAAGAUAGGUGCACACUAAGUUACAUAGUAUUAGUUUGGUGGGCUAAUAAUGGAACAAAAGGGUGGGGCCCAUUUCCUUAAUGUUGGAAUCAUAAUAUACUGGCCCAACUUGACAGGGCGGUGUUUACUUUGAUGCAGAUUGCUGACAUGGCACUUUUUCCCCAGAUAUUUUUUAUUUUACCAAAAUUUCUUCAACUUCUACAUUUAGAUUUUUUUUUCCCUCUGUAUAAUUAUUUAAAUUAUAUAUUCGAUAAAAAUUUUUAAAAAAAAAUUAAAAAAUGUGCAGAAAAAUUUCAACUUUUUAGAAUGUUGGGGAAAAUAGUUUUGAAAAACAGUUUUUAAGAAUUGUUUUGUAAAAAAUUGCUUUGAAAAACAGUUGUAUGAUAAGAAUAUGAUUUGGGGAAUAAAGUUGAGAAGAAGAUUAGGAUGGAAAGAGGCACAGGUGGAAGAGGGAGGAAAACACAAACUGAAAGUAGAAUAUCUGGUUGGUUCCAGGACAAGGUGGUGAGCCCACAUCGAAUCCAAGGAUUAGCUUUGAAACUACUACUCACGGCAUCUUUGCAGACCAAGCAAGCUUCUGCCAUUGGUUUCCUUUGUAAAAUGGCCUAGCUUAUAUAUCUAUCGUCAAAAGUAUAAAUUUGCAUUAUUAGCCCCAAUGAACAUGAAUCUGGAGGCAUUUUUUUCAGAGAAAUGCAGCUCUUUGGAAAAAAAAACCUCAUGAAAUCUCAAAUCGCUUGCACUUAAUUGCAGACUAAGUCAGAACUGUAAGUUUUCUUUUUGGGAAAAUAUAACUCUUCCCAAUUCCAGAAGGCAUUCAUGCUGUGAACCAUAUAUGUUGAAUUUUGAUUGGUUUUGUGAUAGGGUUUUAAGCUGCUGAAGGAAGCAUCAUUGCAGUCCAACACGUUCUAACCAGCAUCGUCCAUAGAAGUAAUAAAGAAUAGUAUUAAAAAAAAAAGGGCUUUUGAGGAUAAGAGAAAACCAUUAAUUUAAGAGAAAGGAAUGGACCAAAGCGCCACUUUGCCCUAUGCUAAUUAUAUAAUGAAUUUAAAAGAAGAAGAGAGCCAUUAAUUUUCACUUGCACUUUUACGAAGUGCAUUAAAUCAUAGGGGUUACGUGCACUUAAUUCAUUUAGAUCAACCAUUAAACUUCCCCACACAGGCCUCCCAAGUAUAUAUGGGUUCAUGGAAACAUGCUCCAAGUAUAUAUCGUCUGUUUAUCUGAGCGGCUUUUAAAUAGUAGAAACAAUGGCAGAAACCACAAUGAAGUUGAAUCUUGUAAUAGACAAGAACAGUCAGAAAGUCCGAUCCUCUAUACUGAAGCAGAAAAUGACUUCGUAGAUUUCCUCUUCAAUCUUUUUACAUUACUCGUUGGGACUGUUAUUAUGCUUCUUACAGAGAAGGGCAUGAUGGGUUGCCUGAGAGAUUUGUAUCAGAGCGUUGAAAAUUUGAGUGAAACUUACAUGCAGCCAAAUCAGAACAAGCCUCUACUAAAACCCAUUUUCCUAAGGUCGAGUUACUGCACUUUACCAACCCCCAAAAAGUUUUAUAUCUGUUUAUGAUGAAAUUUUUAUUUAAAAGUUAUCUAUGUUCUAAUAUAAUGUUAUUAUUAAAACUUAGGUAGUCAAUUCUAAAUUAAUAAAUGUUUGAUUAAAUCUAAAAAUCUAAAUAUUUAUAAAAAUCUUUAAAUUAAACUAAACAUAACCUACAAAUAAAAAAGAUAUUUGAUAAAAUAUCAAAUAUUUAAAUUAAAUUAAAAUUUACCAACAAUUAAAAUAACAUAUGUUUGAAUAAUUAUGUACCUAGUCAUGAAGUAAAAAAUACUUGAUUAAACUUAAAAGUCUAAACAUUUAAAAAUCUCUUGAAAUUAAACAAAACAUAGCCCACAGUAAAAAAUAUAUAUUUAAUAAAAUAUCAAAUACAAAAUUAUAAAAACUUAUUUUUCUAGAUUUAUUUUAUGUAUAUUAGGAUUUAAAUAAAUUUAAUUUUAUUAACAUUAAAUAAAAUUUAAAAUAUAAACAAACAAAUAUUUUAUAAAAUCUAUUCAAUGUUCAUGGUUAUCUAAUUUUUUAUUAUAUCUAUUUUUCUUUCACACACAAAAUUAGUUUUUUAGAGGGUAAACUUGCAUUUUUAUUUUUAGUUUUUAACUUUCUAAAAUUCCUAAAUAAGCAAAAGAAUUUUUUAUUUUUAAAAUAUGAGCGGGGGCAUAUACCCCCAAGCCUAUGGUGGCUUUGCCCUUGGCUAAAGGAAGCUUGGAUGUGAGAUAUUCCUUGAGAACCAUUGUCUAUACCAUUGCUAAAAAAGAAUAGAACCCAAAAACUUUUUGGGAAAGGGGAAAAAAUCAAAAUUCAAAGCCAUACUCGCAAGAAGAGAAUCAAAACCAUUAAUUGAGAGGAAGGGAAAGAAUCAAAACCACUUUAUCUUUGCUUAUAUAAUGAAUUUAAAACAAAAAGAAAACAAAUAUACUUUUUAGGAUUGAGAAAGGAAAGAAUCCAAGUUCAAAACCAUACUUGCAAGGAGAGAACCAAAACCAUUAAUUGAAGAGAAAGGAAAGAACCAAAACCACUUUGUCUUUGCUUAUAUAAUGAUUUUAAAACAAGAAGAGCACCACAAAUUCCACUUCAAGAUCACUAGUCAUCUAUUUUAAUUUCAUCUCCUUUUUCUCUCUCUAUUUUAGUUUUCUGUAGAAGCUCACUUUUAGGUACUUAAAAGUUAGUGGACUACUUUUUUGGUGGAAAUGGCUUUCAACUCAUGUAAGCUUACCAAACUUGGUUGAGUUGUAUGUUUGUUAAUUUUCUUGUUUUCUUGAUAAAUUAAUCCGUAUAGAUAUUAUCUGCUUCGAGUCUAAAGCAUUCUCAUGAUUUAAAAACACAUUUAUAAAAUUAAGAGGAGUUUAUACAUAAAUAGCGUCAAAUUUUUUUUCUCCUAUCUAUUAUGAGAUUUCAUGUAUAUAUAUAUUCAACUCACAUAAGCUUACCAAACAUGGGGUUGAGUUAUAUGUUUGUAAGUUUCCUUGUUUUCUUGAUAAAUUAAUCCAUAUAAAUAUUAUUCACUUUAGGCUUAAAGAGUUCUCACGAUUUAAAAACAUGUUUAUAAAAUUAAGAGGAGUUGAUAUAUAAAUGUAUAGCAUCAAAAUUUCUUUCUCCUUACCAAACUUGGCUGAGUUAUAUGUUUGUUAAUUUCCUUAUUUUCUUGAUAAAUUAAUCCAUGUAGAUAUUAUCUACUUCAAACUUAAAAAGUUCUCACAAUUUAAAAGCACGUUUAUAAAUUAAAGGGAGUUAAUACAUAAAUAAUGUCAAAAAAUUUUGUUAGUUUGUUUCCUCGUUAGUUAAUGCAUAAAUAAUAUCAUAUAUAGCGUUAACUCUGGUAAGCUUACCAAGCAUGGGGUUGAGUUAUAUGUAUGUUACUUUGUUAGUUUAUUUGUUUUCUUGAUAGAUUAAUCUAUAUAGAUAUUAUCCAUUUUAGGCUUAAAAAGUUUUCACGAUUUAAAAACAUGUUUAUAAAAUUAAGAGGAGUUCCUACAUAAAUAUAUAACAUCAAAUUCUUUUUUUCUCCUAUAUAUAUAUAUAUAUAUAUAUUUAUUUAUUUAUUUAUUCAACUUAGGUAAGCUUACCAAACUUAGCUGAGUUAUAUGUUUGUUAAUUUCCUUAUUUUUUUGAUAAAUUAAUCUGUAUAGAUAUUAUCUGUUUCAAGCCUAAAGAGUUUUCACGAUUUAAAAACAUGUUUAGAAAAUUAAGAGGAGUUAAUACAUAAAUAGCAUCAAAUUUUUUUCUUUUAUCUAAUGUGAGAUUUCAUAUAUAUAUAUAUAUAUAUAUAUACACAAUUGCAAUUGAGUUGUUACAUAACUAAUUUUGGUUUUAUGGUCUAAUUCAUGCAUGGCAACCAAAGCAACCCCUGAGAUGAACUUGAAGCUUCUAAUCAACACACAGGACAAUAAAGUUGUCUUCGCUGAAGCUGAAAAAGAUUUCAUAGAUUUACUGUUCAACCUCCUAACUUUGCCUAUUGGCACCAUUGUGGGUUUCCUCCCAAAAGAAGUUUGUCUAGGAGGCCUGCAUAAGAGUGUGAAAAAACUAGAGGGAGCUUACUUGCAGCCUAACCAGAGCUCAGACUCGCCCUUGAAGUUGAACACACCAGCAUAUGCUAUUCUUCCUCUCUUUAAUCCUUCUUCAUCAAGGAGUAAUGAUCCUUUCUUUCAUUGCUCUUCAUCAAGGAGUUAUGGUCAUGUGCAGGGCUUGGUUACCUACAUGGUGACUGAUGACUUGUCGAUUACACCCAUGUCCCUGACAGCAACCAUGGCUUUGUUUAAGAAGUGCAACAUAGAGGAAGUUAAUGUUCUUGAGGAGAAGGUGGUUAAAAUUGGUUUUGAUGAGGUAAACAAUCCUCUAGCUUAUUGGGUUUUAAUUGAUUUCUUUUCUAGCCUAUUCUCUUGUAGAUUUGGUUGGAGUUAUCUUUUUUCCAUAACACAAUUAAUUGGUAGAUGUUACUUGCAAAUCAAUUACCAAAUCAUUAAGCCUUGUUUGUUUGGUAAUUGAUUUUGAAAAUAGUUUUUUAUUUUGUAGAAUAAAAAGAAAAACACAUUUUCAAUUAAGAAACAAAAAAUAUAAUGUUUUUAAGUUGCUUUUAAAAAUAAUUAUAGAAAUACAAAAGAAUUAUUAAAAAUAAAGCAUUACAUGUAUUUAAAAACAUAAACAAAAAGUAAAUUAAAAAACAUUUUAGAUUCGUGUUUUUGUUUUAUAAAAUACCAUAAAAUAGUUUUUAAAAACCGUUUUCAUGAAUGUUUUUAAAAACAUAGCCUUCAUUUUUCUUUAAAAGUUUUGAAAGGUACAUUCUUUUUGAAUGUUUAUUUAAUCAAUCUUUUUGUUCACUUUUCAGGCUUUGCAGUUGUUGAAGUGUUCUCUGCAGUCCAACGCAGCUCUCACUGAAGUCUUCCUUGAGAAAGAAGAAACACAACAGUCCAAAGCAGCUCCCGCAGUUGCCGCAGUUGGCGCACCUCCCGCAGUUGCCGCAGUUGGCGAUAUGGGGUGUGGUUGUGGAAUCAGUUGCUGGUAGUGGGUAUGAUAGAUAGGGAGGUGGUGAGCUUGUCAUGACGUUUCAAACAGGAGCGGUUGCCGCAGUUGCCGAAGUUGCCGCACGUCCCGCACCUCCGGCAGUUACCAUUAACAGUCGCAGCUACCGCUGAAGUAUUACAAAUACAAAAGGACUAUGAAUAUGAUUGUUUGAGCAGGAGACCGACGUAGUAUUAAACUCCGUUUUCGAAUUUGCAAAAAUAAAAAAAUUGUAAGUCUCUAAAUAAUGUUUAUUUUUACAUGCCUUUAUAUAAUGUAAACUCUAUUUGUCCCCAAUUUUAUAGAACUAGAAUAAGAAGAAUAAUAAUUAACCUGCUAUAUAAUUUGUUCAAGAUCUAUUCAAAUUAAAGAGAAAGCCGAAGGGAGAUUUACUAUUAUAAAUACUCCACAAAAAUUUAUUCGAACCCAUCAAAAGCAACCGAUUGGUUCAAUUUUUAACAAUCAUGAAGUUCGGUUGGGUUUUAUUAUUAUAGUCAAAACAAUUUUCAAAUACAUCAAUUCUACAACCAACGUAUAUUUAAAAACUUAAAAUGUUCUUAAUAUGUUUUUCAUAUUUUUAAAUAUACUUUAAAAAUAACUUUUAUUGCAAUAAUUUAUUUUUAAUUAUUUUUCAUAUAUUAUAUAAUUAUUAUUUAAAAUAAUAUUUAAAAAAUAAGUAAAAAUUAUUAAAAGGUAUUAUAUGAAAAAUAUUAUAUUUUUUAUUUUUUAAAAUAAAAGGAUGUGUGGAUCCCGCAUUUUUGCACGUGUUUCCACUCGAAUGGUGAACUCGUUUUUUUAUUUGAAAAAAGAUUUAUUUUUUUAGAAAACGACUUGAAGUUGCUAUUUAUUUUUGUUUUAUUUUUAAAGGGAAAACAAAAUAAGAAAGAAAACCCUAAGUGUGACUCCUUAUUUGGAAAAGAAGGUUUGUGAAAAACUAAAUCUGGGUUUGGGGGUCAGGUUACUUAUUAGGAAGGUACGGUGAAGACCGUAACACCCCUCUAAGCCUCUAAAAAUAGAUCUCUACUAAAUAAAAUAAAACAAGCAUGAUAAUCGAUAAGGAAAUCAAUGGAUACCAAAAUAAUCAUACACUGGAAGCCAAAACAUGCAUAGAGAAUAGUCAAAGUGAGAGUGAGACAAUACCUUAGCGAUGAACAAUAAUGCGCUAUCAUGAAAUGAGGUUAGUGCACAAUAAUGAGUACAAAAUAUAUCACAUGCAUCACUAAACAGAAUAAGAAACCAUUAUUGACAGACACUGCACUUCACUCAAAUUUAUUUUUAUUUUAAAGAAAACAUCACUGAUGUUGGGUCCCCGCCAAAACCCAAUUUAUUUUAUAUGAAUUAAUUCCACGAAUUCCACGACUUGGAGUUAUAGAAUUUAAUUCAUACUUAUUUUAAAACAAUUUAAAAAUCAAGAAGGAAAAAAAUGUGAAAAAUGCUUGCUAAAGAUAAAAUGACAACAAAUUUUAUUGAAAAUGGGAUUUUUGAGACCUAAAAAUUUUUAAGGAUGAAAAGUUGUGGAAUCAAAACAAGAUUUUUAUUUUGAAAAUCAAUUUUAAAAGACACGCAUGAAGAUGGAUAAAAAAAACACAUGGGUUUUGAAAAGGAGCAUAAGAGGGUGGCCAAUGAAAAAUGGGGUCAUGCGUGUGGGCCCGGGGUGGAGAUAGGCAAUCACUAAUGAGGGUGAUCCCCAUCUGGGUGGUGUAUUGUACAAAGCAGAAAACCCAAUUUCGAUUCCACAUAGUUGUAUCUUUGCCGCUUCUUUAACUUUCAUUUUUGCUUUGGCAACAUUUGCAUUGGUUGGCACCAUAUUUGCUUACUCAACCUUUGGCUCAGGUUUUCUAUUUUCUAAAGAAUAGGUUGGGAGACCUUCCUCUAAAUUAGAAUCAUCAAAUUCAGAAAUUUUUUGACUCAAACUCAAAUCAUGGACUUGUAUAGUCUACAUGUGGGGUUGACAAAGGUAAAUCUGGUAGAGGUUUGAAUGCAUGUGGAUGGCAGCAUGGGGGUCGAGCAGUGCCAAAGUGGGACUGCAUGAUAAUUCCUCUCUUGCCAAUGAUGAAGAGUCACCUAAGAUCUCUAAGGCCACUUGACUUUUUAUCCGUUUAAACCCAUGCGAGAUGCGAGAGCACACCUGGCAACGAGGCUACAUUUGGCAUGAGAGUCACGUGAGGAAAUGGAGCGGGGUCAGAGAUUAAAAGGGCUCAUGCAAAGGAUUGAAGGAACUGAUGCAGGUCAUUGGAGAUAGAACAAGACGAUAGCUUCUCUCCUCUUCCCUGCAGCCUUACAGUCUUGUGGAUAGUGGAACCUUUCAUUCCAACGUGGAACAACAAGAUCUUUAAUUGUGCCAAAUACAACUUGCUCAAACAGAUUGUACAGUCCCAUCUUCACCAAUUACUUCCAACUCUAGGGAUGUCUUCUCCUUCAGAACCACCAAACUCAAGGUCUCGAUCCUUGUCUGGGUUACUUAGGUCAGCUUCCUGAAGAAAAUUUAAACAGCAUAGGAUCACAUGUUGACAUUUAAGCAUCCAUUGAACGGCAAAAACGGAAACGUUCACCUUGGUUAAUUCCGUGAAAGGCCAUUUCUAGCUCUUUUCUGGUAUUCAGGAAGCUCCUCCAGUGCUUGAUGGUGCGAGAAUUACAGGUCAAUGAGCUCUUCCCUUCUACACCCGGAUUCAGUCCAAAACGAGAGUGCGUGCUCUCUUUCAGCCAAAGGAGGAAGGAGCAGGGAGCAACCAACCUCACAGAGAGAGCCCUUCCUUUUCUUUUAUGUAUAUAUAUAAAUAAAUAAAUAUAUUCAUAUAUAUAUCACACACAUUAUUUGGACCACCACUUGACUUAAUGGGCCAGUCAAGUGAAUUAGGGUGAGCCCAUAAAAAAUCAAGCAACAAUAUGUGUCCAGUCCCAUUAUGGACCACAAUGCAAAAAUAAAUAACACUGAUUUAUGACAUUAUUAAAUUGAUUAUGUAAGUCCACACAUAAAAAUUCCAACAAUCUCCCACUUGGACUACAUAAUCAAACAUUACAACAUACACAUAAUCAUAAAUCAAUGUCCCAUAGAAUCUCAUCAAAAAUAAAUAAUCAAAAGCAAUCAUAUAUGCUUCAUUGCUUGAUUCAUAGGGAAAUGUACAAUAAUAGCAAUCCUUUCAACAAUAACAUAGUAUUACAAUACCAAAAAUGGCUCCCACUAACUUAAUACAACCUAGGCUUCCAACAACCCCAUUUGAGAUACAUGUUCCUGAAACGCAAUUAUGGGUAAGCCUUUUGUUAAUGGAUCUGCCAACAUACUUUUUGUGGACAUGUGUUCAAUGUCAAUAAGAGACUUUGCCACUUUCUCCUUAACAAAAUAGAACUUUACAUCAAUAUGUUUGGAGCGAGAAAUACUCCUAGUGUUCUUGGAGAAAGCAACAGCUGCGGAAUUAUCACAAAAUAAUUUCAGCGGUCUAGAAAUGGAGUCAACAACUCCUAAAGCUGAAACAAAAUUCCGCAUCCACAUAGCAUGACAACAAGCCUCAUAACAUGCCACAUACUCUGCCUCCAUAGUUGAGGAUGCUGUAAGUGUCUGCUUUACACUUUUCCAAGAUACAGCUCCUCCUGCCAUCAUAAAAAUAUAGCCCGUAGUGGAUUACUUAUCAUCUAUGCAACCAGCAAAAUCAGCAUCACAAAACCCAACUACAUUAAGUAAGCUGGUGCGCUGAUAUGUCAACAUUAAGUCCUUAGUUCCUUACAAAUACCUAAGGACCUUCUUAGCUGCUUUCCAAUGUUGACUUCCAGGAUUGCUCAAGUACCUUCCCAACAUGCCCACAACAAAAGCAAUAUCAGGGCGUGUACCUACUUGAGCAUACGUAAGGCUGCCCACCAUAGAUGAAUAAGGAAUGGUCUUCAUUUCCUCUCUCUCAUCAUCAUUUUGAGGACACUGAGCCUUUGAAAAUUUAUCACCCUUCACAAUUGGCGCUUUAGUAGAUUUACAGUUGUGCAUAUUGAACCUCUUCAAUAUCCUUUCAAUAUAAGCUCUUUGAGACAAUUUAAGCACUCCAUUAGCCCUAUCACGAAGAAUCUUUAUGCCCAAAACAUAAGAAGCCUCACCAAGAUCCUUCAUGUCAAAAUGGGUUGACAACAUGUGCUUUGUCUCAAUCAACAAGUUAGGAUCAUUUGACGCGAGUAGUAUAUCAUCAACAUAUAAAACAAGAAAUAUGUAACUACUCCCACUGACCCUCAAAUAUAUGCAUCUGUCAACUGUAUUCUCUUUAAAACCAUUUUGGAUGGUAAUACUAUCAAACUUCAGAUACCACUAGAUCUUUCAUCAACAGAGCUCACAUCUUCAAAAUAUACAACCCUGUCUAACUCAAUGAUCCUGGUGGUAUGAGAUGAACAAUAAAAUCUGGAACCCCUUGAUCCAAUGCAAUAGCCAACAAAGAAACCACUAAUGGUUUUAGGAUCAAGUUUCUUUGACUGUGGGUUUUAGGGCCUAACCACGCUUCUACUGCGCAUAGCUCAUAAGGUGUCUUAAGCACAGACUUACUGGACACUUGAUUCAAAAUAUAUGCCGCAGUCCUUAAGGCUUCACCCCACAGAAAUUCUGGUAAGGAGGAAUUAGACAACAUGCACCUCACCAUAUCCAACAAUGUGCGAUUCCUCCUUUCUGCAACCCCAUUCUGUUGAGGAGUGCCUGACAUUGUAUAUCUAGCAUCAAUGCCGCAUUCCAACAGAAACUUAGCAAAUGGUCCAGAAUUCCAUCGAGUCUCAUCAUAUCUCCCAUAAUACUCACCAUCUCUAACCAAUCUCUCUAAUCUUUGCCUAGAAAUAUGACCUAGGCGUUUGUGCCACAAUAUGGAAGAACUCAAAUUUACUUGGCUUAUCAACUCUCAAAGCCCAGUCCAAAAUGUGCAUAAUCAUAUGCACAUUGAAAGACUCAAAACAUUCCUCAAAAUUAUUCCAGUAAGAGGUUUGAUGGCAGACAAUUGCAGAGUAAUACCAGGAUUGCUAGUAGCUGGAAAAUAGCAAAUUAAGCAAUAUGCAUUUUACUUCAAAAUCAUGCAUUUGCUAGUUUCUAGAAUUUCUCAAUUUAGCAAUAGCUUGGAAUUUUAAAAAUUCCACGGCGGUAAGGACAACUAAUUAAAUAUCACAACCAAGAUGCACUAAUUUUAUUACCGAAAGGGCAAAGAAAAUUAGUACGAUUCAUAAUAUAAAAUUAAUUUCCUUCACCAAUCCAAGCAUCCUACCAAAUAUUAUAAUCAUCAAUAGGACAAUCACAAUACCCGUAUGGACCUUAGUUAUCACAAUAAUAAAACAAUCAAAAGAUGGAGAUAAAAUAUCUCAACAAAGACAAUUUGACACAUAUAGGAUCACGAUAUGCAACCACACAUAUGUUCACUAUUGUCAUGAAUAAAAUUCAAAAUAUCUUAAUUUCACAAUUUGACACACUUGGAAUUGUGAUAGGCAAUCACACAAGUGUGCUUCAUUUCCUCAAUAAAUUGAAAUAUUUAACAAAAUUGACAUAGGACAACAUUAUUGAUAUUAGGAAAAAUUAUACCAUAAAGAACAAUAAUAAUAAUAAUUGUCCCAAUAAAGUCAAAUUUAACAAAUGCAUAAAAAUUCUAGCAUAUGCACAAUCAUUCCAAUAAUACCAAGGCAACAAACAAACAAAAAAAAAAAAAUUGGUUUUUUUUUUUUUAUGACGUCAUGAUGACGUCAUCACGUCACUAUUCAUCUCCUUCUCCAGCUGAACACGGCCUGGUGCAGGAGAAAAAAAAGUUUUCCUUUUUCGGCCAAAAUUUUGGGCAUUUUCCGACAAAAAACGCUUAGAUUUCCAUCCUCAAACAUCAAACCUUCAAUCUAAUCCCAAAAUUUGCACAAAAAAACGCAUAAUAGAAAGAACCAAAGCAAGCCCUAAUUCUCGAAAUCCCACCAAACAAGCUCCAAAAAUCAAAUAAAAUGAUGGGUUUUGCUCCAAACAAUAUUCUCUACAAGUUUCCAACAACAAUCGGGCUUGAAAACAGAGAAUCAACAUCAAACGAGAAAUAAAAUUCCAAAAAAAUGGCUUCCACCACAGGAAACGGGAAACCCAAAAAUUAACCCAAAAUUGCAGCUCAAAUGCCAUCCAUGUUGGCUCUGAUACCAAUUGAAGAAAAUUUAAACAGCAUAGGAUCACAUGUUGACAUUUAAGCAUCCAUUGAACGGCAAAAACGAAAACGUUCACCUUGGUUAAUUCCGUGAAAGGCCAUUUCUAGCUCUUUUCUGGUAUUCAGGAAGCUCCUCCAGUGCUUGAUGGUGCGAGAAUUACAGGUCAAUGAGCUCUUCCCUUCUACACCCGGAUUCAGUCCAAAACGAGAGUGCGUGCUCUCUUUCAGCCAAAGGAGGAAGGAGCAGGGAGCAGCCAACCUCACAGAGAGAGCCCUUCCUUUUCUUUUAUGUAUAUAUAUAAAUAAAUAAAUAUAUUCAUAUAUAUAUAUCACACACAUUAUUUGGACCACCACUUGACUUAAUGGGCCAGUCAAGUGAAUUAGGGUGAGCCCAUAAAAAAUCAAGCAACAAUAUGUGUCCAGUCCCAUUAUGGACCACAAUGCAAAAAUAAAUAACACUGAUUUAUGACAUUAUUAAAUUGAUUAUGUAAGUCCACACAUAAAAAUUCCAACACUUCCUUAAAGCCGCGUCUAUCCAUAUGUCUUGCUUUCACCUGAGUCAUUCCUUUGUUCAUCCUCAAGCUUCUAAUAUUUGUAGCAUGGUCAGGACCAUGUGCUACGCCUUUGAAAUGUAUGCAAGCUCAUCAACUUUUGAUGGAUUUCCAACUCUUGCCUCUUCCUAAACAGUGUCAAGGUUUCCUCACAUCCUCCAUUAAUUUCUACCAAUGCUAGAAAAUAUCAUGCGUGCCAUGCAAGUAGGGGGGUGGGAAAGGUGACAAGGAGAUCGGGUAGAGGAUUGGGUAUAGGUGGAUGGUUGCGAAAGUGAUGAGCUGAAUGGGUGAGUGCGUUCUGGUGAUCAGGUUCGGUGGAUAUGAAUAAUGGGGACUGGUGGGUAUGAAGGGUGUGGGUUAUGAUUGACGGAAUGGGUGGUGGAAGGUAGUGAGAAAAGUGGGUUUAGUGGGUAUUGAAAGAUGGACAUAUGGGUAUGGUGGUUGAAUAAGUUGUUGGUAGUGGGUAUAAUAGAUAGGGAGGUGGUGAGUUUAUCAUGACGUUUUAGACAGGAGCGGUUUGGCUUGAGAUUAAGGUUUGAUAGAAUGGGGUUUCAGUUGAGGGUUUUACGAAGGUUUUGGGUGGCCAUGCAUGGCAGUGCAAAGGUGGGAGAGAUGGUGGCUACAUCGGCACUUGCGUCCUUGGGCACCCCAUCACCUCGAUACUUCAGCUAGCAUGUCGUGUUCUGGCCCUGGCAGGUGUCACACUGGGCUAUCAUAGAAGAGGGCUCAAAAGCAUUGUUGGUAAUUUCAGCUGCUGAAAGUUGCUUAUGGUAUGCCUUUUCAGCAGAAAUCACAGGAGCAUAAGAAACUUUUUCUGGACUUGUGUACCAAUUGAUUCCCAUGAGCAAUAUUUCCUUCUUAAAAAAGUCUUGCUUAUUUUCUUUUAUCUGUUCAACACUUCAAUUUCCCCAGAUGCCUACUACUCAUGCAUUCAGUUCCAAAAGUGUUCUAAAUCAAGAGAAAGCGCUGACACUAGGGGACCCCUCGAGGUGUGUCCCUAUAGAAGCUAAAUCCAUGCUAACAAGACUCUCAUCUUCACAUUCAAGCACUACUCUCUGGAAGCACCAGGGGUACUCUUCACGCUAAUUAAUGGUGCCAACAAAAUCAAUUCUGAGCUUGGAAGACACUCUCAACAGCUAGACUUCUUCCACAACUGAAGCUAUUGGACCAACCUGAGCUCUUCAAAAAGCACACAUAUCAAGAUGGCCAACCCAAACAUGAUACCCACCACUCCAAAAAUACCAGAAACAGAGGAGAAAGUAAAAAAAAAAAACAAAAACAAAGCAUGCACAAACAAAAAUAAUAUGGUUAAACCUAGCUCCAUUUCAUAAAGGUCAAUGGGCUAGAUACAGGUGGAAUCAAAAGGAAGCAAGAGCAUGAUCUUUGAUAAUCAGAUUCAGUGAUGGAUCCAUAUUCAACUCGUUCAUGAAUAGAGAAAUGCACAAGUUGCUUACAAACAGAGCUAAAAGAACCAUACUAGAAUAAAAGAAAAUGCAUAAAAAUUGGUCUUAGAUUUCACAAAUAUGCACAAUAUCUGAUGUCAACAUUCAAGCACCAAGAUGAAUCCAAAAUCAGCAGGAAACAAGGGAGAAUAGUCUAAAAUGGGAAAAUGUAAAAUAUGUUGUAAUCAUGACUGGAUAAGAAAAAGAGUAGCGAGCUGAUUCUGUGCUUCUUCUCCUUCGCUUUUUCGCUUCUUGUCUUUGCUGCUCUAAAUGCCCCUUUCUACUCUCUAACUCCUUAUGGAAUGGCCCUCACUUAAGCUGAAAUUAUCUCUCUACCGAUUCACUAUUUCUAUUUCACACAUUUUUUUCAGCUCUCACUUAAAACUACCCUUGAAUCCCAGAAAAUGAAAACCUACUAUUCUCAUCCUCAGUUCCUUUGUAAAACCCUUUUCCUUUUUUUUCCUCAGUUGGUUUCUUCCUCAAGCUCCCCUUCCCCUAAUGGCCUCAAAACCGUCCUCAAAAUCUUCUCACA